rnacentral:rRNA from 1 species
AGUGAACGCUGGCGGUAGGCCUAACACAUGCAAGUCGAACGGCAGCACAGUAAGAGCUUGCUCUUACGGGUGGCGAGUGGCGGACGGGUGAGGAAUACAUCGGAAUCUACUUUUUCGUGGGGGAUAACGUAGGGAAACUUACGCUAAUACCGCAUACGACCUACGGGUGAAAGCAGGGGAUCUUCGGACCUUGCGCGAUUGAAUGAGCCGAUGUCGGAUUAGCUAGUUGGCGGGGUAAAGGCCCACCAAGGCGACGAUCCGUAGCUGGUCUGAGAGGAUGAUCAGCCACACUGGAACUGAGAAACGGUCCAGACUCCUACGGGAGGCAGCAGUGGGGAAUAUUGGGCAAUGGGCGCAAGCCUGAUACAGCCAUACCGCGUGGGUGAAGAAGGCCUUCGGGUUGUAAAGCCCUUUUGUUGGGAAAGAAAAGCAGCAGGUUAAUACCCCGCUGUUCUGACGGUACCCAAAGAAUAAGCACCGGCUAACUUCGUG